UACGUAGGGCGCCAGCGUUAUCCGGAAUUAUUGGGCGUAAAGAGCUCGUAGGCGGUUUGUCGCGUCUGCCGUGAAAGUCCGGGGCUCAACUCCGGAUCUGCGGUGGGUACGGGCAGACUUGAGUGAUGUAGGGGAGACUGGAAUUCCUGGUGUAGCGGUGAAAUGCGUAGAUAUCUGGAGGAACACCGGUGGCGAAGGCGGCAUCCUGGGCCAACACUGACGCUGAGUGAGCGAAAGCGAGGGGAGCAAACGGG
rnacentral:rRNA from 1 species